CCUACGGGAGGCUGCAGUGGGGAAUAUUGGACAAUGGGCGAAAGCCUGAUCCAGCCAUGCCGCGUGUGUGAAGAAGGCCUUCGGGUUGUAAAGCACUUUCAGUGGGGAAGAAAGCCUUGGGGCUAAUACCCUCGAGGAAGGACAUCACCCACAGAAGAAGCACCGGCUAACUCCGUGCCAGCAGCCGCGGUAAUACGGAGGGUGCGAGCGUUAAUCGGAAUUACUGGGCGGAAAGCGCGCGUAGGCGGUCUGAUAAGCCGGUUGUGAAAGCCCCGGGCUCAACCUGGGAACGGCAUCCGGAACUGUCAGGCUAGAGUGCAGGAGAGGAAGGUAGAAUUCCCGGUGUAGCGGUGAAAUGCGUAGAGAUCGGGAGGAAUACCAGUGGCGAAGGCGGCCUUCUGGACUGACACUGACGCUGAGGUGCGAAAGCGUGGGUAGCAAACAGGAUUAGAUACCCCUGUAGUC
rnacentral:rRNA from 1 species